rnacentral:rRNA from 1 species
UGAUACUAAGCCAUGCGAGUCAUUGUAGCAAUACAAGGCAUACGGCUCAGUAACGCGUAGUCAACCUAACCUAUGGACGGGAAUAACCUCGGGAAACUGAGAAUAAUGCCCGAUAGAACAUUAUGCCUGGAAUGGUUUAUGUUCCAAAUGAUUUAUCGCCGUAGGAUGGGACUGCGGCCUAUCAGUUUGUUGGUGAGGUAAUGGCCCACCAAGACUAUUACAGGUACGGGCUCUGAGAGGAGUAGCCCGGAGAUGGGUACUGAGACACGGACCCAGGCCCUAUGGGGCGCAGCAGGCGAGAAAACUUUGCAAUGUGCGAAAGCACGACAAGGUUAAUCCGAGUGGUUUCUGCUAAAGGAACCUUUUGUCAGUCCUAGAAACACUGAUGAAUAAGGGGUGGGCAAGCUCUGGUGUCAGCCGCCGCGGUAAAACCAGCACCUCAAGUGGUCAGGAUGAUUAUUGGGCCUAAAGCAUCCGUAGCCGGCUCUGUAAGUUUUCGGUUAAAUCUGUACGCUCAACGUACAGGCUGCCGGGAAUACUGCAAAGCUAGGGAGUGGGAGAGGUAGACGGUACUCGGUAGGAAGGGGUAAAAUCCUUUGAUCUAUUGAUGACCACCUGUGGCGAAGGCGGUCUACCAGAACACGUCCGACGGUGAGGGAUGAAAGCUGGGGGAGCAAACCGGAUUAGAUACCCGGGUAGUCCCAGCUGUAAACCAUGCAAACUCAGUGAUGCAUUGGCUUGUGGCCAAUGCAGUGCUGCAGGGAAGCCGUUAAGUUUGCCGCCUGGGAAGUACGUACGCAAGUAUGAAACUUAAAGGAAUUGGCGGGGGAGCACCACAAGGGGUGAAGCCUGCGGUUCAAUUGG